rnacentral:sRNA from 1 species
GCUGGGUGCAGUUCCUCAUUCUAAAGUGCACUCCUGGAGUCCCAGCUGCUUGGGAGGCUGAGGCUGGAGGACUGCUUGAGUCCAGGAGUUUGGAGACCAACCUGGGCAACAUAGCAAGACCCUAUCUCAA